CAAUCAUCACCUACUAGGAUGGAUGUUCAUCUAAACGUCGAACAC
rnacentral:sRNA from 1 species